GGGGAUAUGGCGAAAUUGGUAGACGCUACGGACUUAAAAAAUCCGUUGACUUUAGAAAUCGUGAGG
rnacentral:tRNA from 1 species